GAUGAACGCUGGCGGCGUGCCUAAUACAUGCAAGUCGAGCGAACAGACGAGGAGCUUGCUCCUCUGACGUUAGCGGCGGACGGGUGAGUAACACGUGGAUAACCUACCUAUAAGACUGGGAUAACUUCGGGAAACCGGAGCUAAUACCGGAUAAUAUAUUGAACCGCAUGGUUCAAUAGUGAAAGACGGUUUUGCUGUCACUUAUAGACGGAUCCGCGCCGCAUUAGCUAGUUGGUAAGGUAACGGCUUACCAAGGCAACGAUGCGUAGCCGACCUGAGAGGGUGAUCGGCCACACUGGAACUGAGACACGGUCCAGACUCCUACGGGAGGCAGCAGUAGGGAAUCCUCCGCAAUGGGCGAAAGCUUGACGGAGCAACGCCGCGUGAGUGAUGAAGGUCUUCGGAUCGUAAAACUCUGUUAUUAGGGAAGAACAAAUGUGUAAGUAACUAUGCACGUCUUGACGGUACCUAAUCAGAAAGCCACGGCUAACUACGUG
rnacentral:rRNA from 1 species